GCUAUCGCUUACAGAUGGGCCCGCGGUGCAUUAGCUAGUUGGUAGGGUAAUGGCCUACCAAGGCAACGAUGCAUAGCCGACCUGAGAGGGUGAUCGGCCACACUGGGACUGAGACACGGCCCAGACUCCUACGGGAGGCAGCAGUAGGGAAUCUUCCGCAAUGGACGAAAGUCUGACGGAGCAACGCCGCGUGUAUGAAGAAGGUUUUCGGAUCGUAAAGUACUGUUGUUAGAGAAGAACAAGGAUAAGAGUAACUGCUUGUCCCUUGACGGUAUCUAACCAGAAAGCCACGGCUAACUACGUGCCAGCAGCCGCGGUAAUACGUAGGUGGCAAGCGUUGUCCGGAUUUAUUGGGCGUAAAGCGCGCGCAGGCGGUCUUUUAAGUCUGAUGUGAAAGCCCCCGGCUUAACCGGGGAGGGUCAUUGGAAACUGGAAGACUGGAGUGCAGAAGAGGAGAGUGGAAUUCCACGUGUAGCGGUGAAAUGCGUAGAUAUGUGGAGGAACACCAGUGGCGAAGGCGACUCUCUGGUCUGUAACUGACGCUGAGGCGCGAAAGCGUGGGGAGCAAACAGGAUU
rnacentral:rRNA from 1 species